GCAGGUCUAGGGGUGAAAAGCCAAUCGAACUAGGAGAUAGCUCGUUCUCUCCGAAAUGCAUUUAGGUGCAGCCUUGAACUGAGAUAUGUGGGGGUAGAGCUCUGUAUGAUCUAGGGGGCGUACUGCUUACCGAAAUCAAGCAAACUUCGAAUACCAUAUAUUAUGUUCAGGAGUGAGUCCGUGGAUGACAAGGUCCUCGGACGAGAGGGGAACAGCCCAGACCGCCAGCUAAGGUCCCUAAUUAUGUCUAAGUGGGAAAGGAGGUGGACAUUCAUAGACAACCAGGAGGUUGGCUUAGAAGCAGCCAUGCCUUGAAAGAGUGCGUAAUAGCUCACUGGUCGAGAGUGCCUGCGCCGAAGAUGUAACGGGGCUAAGACAUAAACCGAAGCUGCGGAAGGUACCUUGUAUCUUGGUAGGAGAGCGUUCUGUAGGCCGUCGAAGGGAUGCCGCAAGGCCAUCCUGGAGGUAUCAGAAGCGAGAAUGCAGGAAUGAGUAGCGAGAAGGCGGGCGAGAAUCCCGCCGGCCGGAAGUCCAAGGUUUCCAGGGGAAGGCUUGUCCGCCCUGGGGAAGUCGGGACCUAAGCAUAAGCAAAAUUGUGACGGCGAAUGGAAAACAGGUUAAUAUUCCUGUACCGCUGUUAUCGCUUGAGAGACGGAGUGACGCAGGAAGGUAUGUGAGAAGGCUGACGGUUUAGCCUUUCUAAGGGCCCAGCGUGGGCGCGCAGGAAAAUCCGCGCGCCUAGACGUGAGACCUGACGGGGAAGUGCUUGUGCAUAAGUCACAGAUCCUACACUGCCAGGAAAAACUUCUAUCGAUGAGAAGCAGCGCCCGUACUGUAAACCGACACAGGUGGACAGAGUGAGAAACUUAAGGCCGACAGGAUAACUCUAGCUAAGGAACUCUGCAAAAUAGCCCCGUAACUUCGGGAGAAGGGGUGCCUGACAUACCUGAAGAGAGAGACGCUCCCAGGGGAAACAGGCCGCAGUGAAGAGUCUCAAGCAACUGUUUACCAAAAACACAGGUCUAUGCUAAGCUGAAAGGCGACGUAUAUGGGCUGACACCUGCCCAGUGCCGGAAGGUUAAGAGGAGGGGUGAGAGCUCCGAUUUGAAGCCCCGGUGAACGGCGGCCGUAACUAUAACGGUCCUAAGGUAGCGAAAUUCCUUGUCGGGUAAGUUCCGACCUGCACGAAUGGUGAAAUGAUUUGAGAGCUGUCUUGGCUGGAGACCUGGUGAAGUUGUAAUGCCGGUGAAGAUACCGGCUACCUGCAGUAGGACGGAAAGACCCCGUGGAGCUUUACUGCAGCCUGGCAUUGGGUUCUGGCAGUGUGUGUAUAGGAUAGUUGGGAGACUGUGAUGCAGUGGCGUCAGCCAUUGCGGAGUCGCUGUUGGAAUACCAACCAUAUGCUGCCGGAAUUCUAAUCUGGCAACGGAGACAGUGCUAGGCGGGCAGUUUGACUGGGGCGGUCGCCUCCCAAAGAGUAACGGAGGCGCUCAAAGGUUCCCUCAGGCUGGAUGGAAAUCAGCCUGAGAGUGCAAACGCAUAAGGGAGCUUGACUGCAAGACUGACGGGUCGAGCAGGUACGAAAGUAGGAGUUAGUGAUCC
rnacentral:rRNA from 1 species